rnacentral:lncRNA from 1 species
AAUACUUCAACAAGCAUUUAUUAAACGCCUACUAUGUGCUCAGCACUAUACUAGGCACUCGGGGGUGCAGAGAUACAAAUGUAAAAGUUAUUAUUCCUGCCCUCAAGGAGCUUACAAUUUAAUUUUGGAAAUAAAUACAAAUAUGAAACUGUAACACAGAGUGCUAGAAAAUAAUUACAAAGCAACAUAUUAGUAAGUACAUGGACCACAGUACAAACUCAAAAGAUAAGUGCUGAGGCAGCACAGAAUGAGGGAGGUCAUCGCAUGAGGUGAUGUCAAUCAGGGAGAGCUCAGUCAGAAGAUAUAAAGGAAGAAAGGCUUUGAAGGGAGUGAUGAACAUGAGCUGGGACCAAAGAGCAAUCUAAGCAAAAAGAAUAGCAUGAGAAAGGCACAGAGGCAAGAGCUUGUAAGACAUCAGUAGAAGGCUGUAGGAAGUUUGAAUCUGUUGAAUCAAGGUGAAUAUGCUAGAGAGUAAUGAAGGCUGAUGAAUAUUAGGCAUAGAGGUAAUGGAGAAUUUGGAACACCACUGCUCCAUAGGAAUUAUCUACUGGGUGUUACUUAGUGAAAAUGAAAUUUUACAAUAGAGAUAUUGUAAAAAUGGGUGUUUGAGGAGGAUCGUCUUUGAAAAAUUAUCUACUGGGUGUUACUGAAAAUGAAAAUUUUACAAUACGGAUAUUGUAAAAAUGGAGUUUGAGGAGGAGCACCUUAGAAACUUUAUACAAGAUGGGGAUCCUGGGAGCAAGGAAAUUGGAAAAAAAAGAAUUACAGUAACCUGGGCCUCAGAUCUACAUGAAAAGCUAUAAUGGGAUGAGAGAAAUGGGAGAUCAAGCCUCAAGGAGAAAACUGAUUAAAAACUGGACUGACAGCAAGUUUUUGGACAUGGAGAAUGGAGAGCAGAAAAAGAUAACUCCAAGGCUGGGGUAAAAAUAUAAAGGUGGUGACACUUUUCAGGGCAAAGGAAUUACGCAAUGAGGCCUGUUUAAAAAGAAAACGGGGGCUGGGGAUAUAUGGUGAUGAAUCCUGUUUUCAAAUAUCAAGUUGUACAGGUACCUGUGGAAAAUUCCAAAAGUCACAAACUGACCCACAGGGUGGGAAAAAUGAAGUCAUUCGAAUACAAAUAGUAGGUAUAAACAAUCAAAAUGGAUAAAUAGGAGUAUAGAAAAUGAAGUGAAUAAAAGACAGGGAGAUUAUUCUCAGUGGAGAAGAGGAGAAAGGGGAGUGGGUGGAAAGAUCAACUAAAAAAAGAAAGACAGAUAUUAGAGAAAAAGGAUCCCACAAGCCAAAGGAGGGAGAAUUCAACAAUAUAAAAUAUAAAUUAGAUCAAAAAAGACAAGAAAUAAUAAUAAAAAAAGGCCUUAUUAUUUGUCCACUGGUGAGUCUAAGAACAUUUCACUGGAAUGCUAAGUAUGAAAGCCAGUAAAAAGAAGUUUUAAGAACAGAUUAAUGAAAAAGGGGGGUUGAAAAAUCAAAGAUAUGUUUGAAAAACCAUGAACAAUAGAGGAGAAACAGAAUGGUAGUUGGAAAUGGGCAAUGAGGAUGAAAGCAUUUCACAUUUUAUGCUGUAGAUGAACUUACUAUUGUCAUCCUAACUGACCAUCUGCCUGGCCUGGUACAUGGAUAUUUCAUUUCCCUCCACAAUUCUACUUUCCCUUUGGCAGUUUGGAGAAAAAUAUAUUUGAAUUUAUUAUUGCUUUAUCCUCCCAAUUACUCUGUUAAAUAUGUUUUGUUUGCACAAUUUAGCUUUGUAGUACUACAAAGCAUCAACACUUAAAAAUGAUAUAAUUGUAACCCCAAAAAGCAUUUUCCACCAAUUUUCCAGUAAUUGUAAUGUAUUUGCACUCUACUGCACAUUCUUUUCCCCAGUACCUCUCAUGACAAGCGCUACAUAUUUUUAAAAAGCUGGUUAGAAUUACCAUGUUCAUUAUACACACCUUAGCACAGUAGUCAGAACAGGCUCUAGAAUCAAACUGUGUGGGUCAGAAUCAGUUUUAUCACAUACUGGCUGGGUGAUAUUGGUCAGCUCACUCAACUAAGCCUCCGUUUCCUCAUUUAUAAAAUGGGGGAUAAAAUAAUACCUAUUGAUAUGGUUUGGCUGUGUCCCAUCCAAAUCUCAUCUUGAAUUGUAGCUCCCACAAUUCCCACGUGUCGUGGGUGGGACCAAGUGGGAGGUAAUUGAAUCACGGGGGCAGAACUUUCCUGUGCUGUUCUUGUGAUAGUGAAUAAGUCUCACAAGAUCGGACGGUUUUAUAAAGAGUUCCCCUGCACAAGUUCUCUCUUUGCCUGCUGCCAUCCAUGUAUAAGACAUGAUUUGCUCCUCCUUGCCUUCCACCAUGAUUGUGAGGCGUCCCCAGCCAUGUGGAACUGAGUCCAUUAAACCUCUUUCCUUUAUAAAUUACCCAGUGUCAGGUAUGUCUUUAAUAGCAGCAUGAGAACAGACUAAUACAUUUAUCAUGAGCCUGAGAAAGGCAUAACAGGGUUGGGCACAUAGUAAGUGCUCAAUAAACGUCGGCUAUUAUUAUUUGGAGACUCAGAACCAAGAGUAAAGUUAACUGCUCUGUUUGGGAAUCAACCACCAUAUUCUAGCACUGCACCUUGCUCCAUGGAGAAAAUCUCUGAAACCUAACAUGCCUCUCCCAGGGCUAUGUUGGAUGGCACUAAUUUUUCUAGUCAUAUUAUUUUCUCCAAAUUUAUGCCACAUGCUUAGUAAUUCUGAGAUUUAAGUAAUCUGGCUACAUAUUACUCUUAAUACUGACACAUAAAGAGACUUUAGCUAGUACAUCUGUAUACAUUUCAAUGUGUUGCUCUGGUCUAUGGCCAUACCACCCUGAAUGCACCCAAUUUUGUUAAUAUGUUGCAUUGCUAAAAGGACUUU